UACGUAGGCAACGAGCGUUGUUCGGAGUUACUGGGCGUAAAGAGUGCGUAGGCGGUUUUCUAAGUUUGGUGUGAAAUCUCCCGGCUUAACUGGGAGGGUGCGCCGAAAACUGGAAGGCUUGAGUAUGGGAGAGGUAAGCGGAAUUCCUGGUGUAGCGGUGAAAUGCGUAGAUAUCAGGAGGAACACCUGCGGUGUAGACGGCUUACUGGACCAUAACUGACGCUGAGACACGAAAGCGUGGGUAGCAAACAGG
rnacentral:rRNA from 1 species